AAGGGGUGACAAUCCCGUACUUGACACGACGACCAGUGCUCUGUGAUACAUUUUCUACGAGUCGAGUUGUUUGGGAAUGCAGCUCAAAAUGGGUGGUAAAUUCCAUCUAAAGCUAAAUAUAGGCGAGAGACCGAUAGCGAACAAGUACCGUGAGGGAAAGAUGAAAAGCACUUUGGAAAGAGAGUUAAACAGUACGUGAAAUUGUUGAAAGGGAAACGAUUGAAGUCAGUCGUGUCUGUUGGUUUCAGCUGUCUCUGGCAGUGUAUUACCAGCAGACGGGUCAACAUCAGUUUUGGACGGUGGAAAAAGGUAGGGAGAACGUAGCACCUCCGGGUGUGUUAUAGCUCCCUAUUGCAUACACUGUCCGAGACUGAGGAAUGCAGCUCGCCUUUAUUGGGCCGGGGGUUUCGCCCACGGUUUCGAGCUUAGGGAAUGUUGGACAUAAUUGGGCUUUAAAACGACCCCGGUCUUGAAACAACCGGACCCAAGGGAGUUCUAACAAUUAUCUGGCGAGUGUUUUGGGGUGUCAAAACCCCGAGGCGCGUAAUGGAAAAGUGAACGUAGGAACCGGAUCCCGCAAGGAGCAGUUUUCGACCCGAUCUGGGAAUCUUUUUGUGAUGGGUUUUUUGAGUAAGAGCAAUUUAUAUUGCCUGGGAAACCCGAAAGAUGGGUGAAACUAUGCCCUUGGUAGAAUAGGGCGGAAAAGGCCAGGGGAAACCUUCUGGUGGGAAGCUCGUAGCCAUUCUUGGACGUGCAAAUCGAAAUCGUCCAAUUCGGGUAUACGGGGCCGAAAAGACUAAUCGCACUAUCUAGUAGCUGGCUCCCUGCCCGAAGUUUCCCUCAGGAUAGCAAGAAACUCGGCAUCAGGUUUUAUGAAGGUAAAGCGAAUGAUUAGAGGGCCUUUGGGGGCCGAAACCGUCCUUACCUUAUUCUCAACGUUUUACUAUAGUUAAGAAGCAUGCUUGCA
rnacentral:rRNA from 1 species